GUGAGAUGACUUACACAAUUUGAUAAUAUUUUAUAUAAUAUUUUAUGAUUAACCAGUUAACUGAAACCUAAAAACCUGUAUUAACUGAUUAAUAUUGCAGCAAAAAGUCAGUUCAUGUUAUUGUAUCAAUCACUUGUGGAUACAUGAUUAUGCUGUCGUGAUAUGAUUUCUAACAAUUGUCUUGUCAUUUUUAGCUUUUACUAUUAUAAUUUUAAUUAAAAUAUAUUAAAGUCACUAUGUCAUAACAGACUUUAUAUUGUGCCAUGCAGUCCUAUUGCUCUUUUGUUUUAAAUAUCAUAUAGUCUAAAGCAAUGAUUCUCAUUAAAUACAUGCAUCAAAAUCAACUGCAGUUAUUACAUGCUGACUCAAACUUACAAAAUCAAGCUCUCUGUGAUCCUGGUUAAUACAUCUAAGUACUUGAGCCGAUAAUCCAAGUACUUUGGGGGGUCGAGGUGAGAGGAUAGCAUGUGGCCAGAAGUUCAAGACCAGCCUGGGCAACAUAGCGAGACUCCAUCUCCACAAAAAAGUGUUAAAAAUUAGCCAGACAUGGUGGUGCAUGUCUUAGUUCUAACUACUCAGGAGGCUGAGAAAGGAAGAUUACUUUAGCCCAGGAGCUCAAAGGUGCAGUGAACUGUGACUGCACUCCAGCCCGUCUAAAAAAAAAAAAAGGAAAAAAAAAAGAAAUAAAAAGGUAUACACUUUUUUUUCUGAAGUGGAUGGAAAUAUGUCAUGUCAGAGGUAAAUUGUGACUUGAGUAAGUUUUAUGUUGAGCAACUCUUUUUGUUUACGUUUUCUAUGUUGCCCAAAUAAAGUCUUAUUUUCAUAAAUCACUGCUUUAUGAAAUCACAACUUUUCCUGCAGCCCUGGGUAUGGUGGCACACAGUUGUAGUCCCAGGUACACUGGAUGCUGAGGCAAGAGGAUCAUUUGAACCCAGAACUUGAAGGUCAACCUGGGCAACAUAGCAAGAUCCUAUCUGUAACAAAAAUUUUUUUAAUGAUAAUUCUCAUGCAAAAUUCAGUUUGCACUGUUUUAAAAAAUGAAACACUUAUAAGAGCAUGGUCAUAAGGCAAUUCUGACUUGGUGUCAAGCCAUUUAAACUUAGAUAUGACCUAGGAUUUAGGAUCCUUGCUAUUGUUUACAUAGUAAGUCCACAUUCACUCACAUUGGGACACACAGUGGGGAAAUGCCAAUUAACCAGACAUGCACAUCUUGGGGAUGUGAGAGGAAGCAGGAGUUCCUGGAGAAAACCCAUGCAGGCAUGGGGAGAACAUGCAGACCCUACACAGAUGGUAGCCCUGUCCAGGAAUCAAUAUUUAUUCUCAUCUACAUUAUAGCAAAACAACAUUGAAUAAAACAACUUUAUUUGAGGACCUGUUUUACUUGUACAUCUUUGGGAAAAUCUUUCAACUUUUAUUACUCAUAAUGUUCUCAAUAAAAGUGUGUUAAGAAUACAUAUUUCAGGAGGUUUUUUGAGACAAUCAAAUGUGGCAAUGCAUGCAGAAUUAAUAGCCCAUAAGGCAUUUUAUACAGUAUGUUCUUAGUAAUCUACUUUUAAUUGAUAAUUGCUUUAUAAAAUAAUCUGAUUACUUUUGGUAUAAAGGAUAACAUAUUCCACUAAUACUGUGAAGUUUCAGUGAUACAAACA
rnacentral:lncRNA from 1 species